rnacentral:rRNA from 1 species
UACGUAGGGUCCGAGCGUUGUCCGGAAUUAUUGGGCGUAAAGAGCUCGUAGGCGGCUCGUUGCGUCGGCUGUGAAAACCCGCAGCUCAACUGUGGGCUUGCAGCUGAUACGGGCGGGCUGGAGUUCGGUAGGGGAGACGUGGAAUUCCUGGUGUAGCGGUGAAAUGCGCAGAUAUCAGGAGGAACACCGGUGGCGAAGGCGGGUCUCUGGGCCGAAUGACUGACCGCUGGAGGAGCGAAAGCGUGGGGAGCGAACAGG